rnacentral:rRNA from 1 species
GAUGAACGCUGGCGGCGUGCCUAAUACAUGCAAGUCGAGCGAACGGACGAGAAGCUUGCUUCUCUGAUGUUAGCGGCGGACGGGUGAGUAACACGUGGAUAACCUACCUAUAAGACUGGGAUAACUUCGGGAAACCGGAGCUAAUACCGGAUAAUAUUUUGAACCGCAUGGUUCAAAAGUGAAAGACGGUCUUGCUGUCACUUAUAGAUGGAUCCGCGCUGCAUUAGCUAGUUGGUAAGUUAACGGGUUACGAAGGCAACGAUGCAUAGCCGACCUGAGAGGGUGGUCGGCCACCUUGGAAGUGAGACGCGGUCCAGACUCCUACGGGAGGCAGCAGUAGGGAAUCUGCCGCAAUGGGCGAGAGCCUGACGGAGCAACGCCGAGUGAGUUAUGACGGUCUUCGGAGCGUAAAACUCUGUUAUUAGGGAAGAACAUAUGUGUAAGUAACUGUGCACAUCUUGACGGUACCUAAUCAGAAAGCCACGGCUAACUACGUG